UACGGGGGGGGCAAGCGUUGUUCGGAAUUACUGGGCGUAAAGGGCUCGUAGGCGGCCAACUAAGUCGGACGUGAAAUCCCCAGGCUCAACCUGGGAACUGCGUCCGAUACUGGAUGGCUUGAAUCCGGGAGAGGGAUGCAGAAUUCCAGGUGUAGCGGUGAAAUGCGUAGAUAUCUGGAGGAACACCGAUGGCGAAGGCGGCCCCCUGGACCGGUACUGACGCUGAGGCGCGAAAGCGUGGGUAGCAAACGGG
rnacentral:rRNA from 1 species